AUCCCAGACUGUGCUGAAGCUUCAUGAGACCUCUCCUCGUCUGUGCACGAAAGAGGAGCCGGACACAGAGUGUCCAGCCGACUCUGGAGCCCAGGCUGUUGCUUCCCGGUCUGGUGGUGAGUCCUCCAUUGUCUGAUGUGGGUAAGUCCAAGACCAAGGAGCCAGCAGAUUCAGAGUCCAGGGAGGGCUGUUCCUGAUUUGCAGAUGGCGCCUUCUCUUUAUGUCUUCACAAGAUUGUGAAGCCUGUAGCUUGGAAGAUACAGGACAUAGGUGAAAGUGUUUGUACCAUUCAUUUAAAGGCAUAAAUGUCCAAUGGGGCCAUCUUGUGAUACAUGCACUGUCACAGGAAAAGUUUCCAGGAAAAGUCAAGCCAGGGCUUCACAGAAGAUCAAAAGAAAGAGACAAGGAGAAGCUAAGUGUAUUAGUCAGGAUUCUCUAAGGGACAGAACUAAUAGAAUAUAUAUACACACACAAACACACACACACACACAUAUAUAUACAUAUAAAUAAAAGGGAGUUUAUUAAGGAGUAUUAACUCACACAAUCACAAGGUCCCACAACAGGCCGGGCCAUCUGUAAGCUGAGGAACAAGGAAGCCAGUCUGAAUCCCAAAGAUGACAAACUUGGAGUUCAAUGUUCAAGGGCAGGAAGCAUCCAGCACAGGAGAUAGAUGUAGGCUGGGAGGCUAAGCCAGUCAAGACUUUUCACGUUUUUCUGCCUGUUUCAUAUCCUAGCUGCAAUGGCAGCUGAUUAGAUGGUGCCCACCCAGAUUAAGGGUGGGUCUGCCUUUCCCAGCACACUGACUCAAAUGUUUAUCUCCUUUGGCAACACCCUCACAGACACACUCAGGAUUAAUAUUUUGCUUCCUUCCAUCCAAUCAAGUUGACACUCAGUAUUAACCAUCACACUAAGCUUGUUAUUUUAUAGAAAUGCUUGAAAACCAGAGAUAAAUGCAGCUACAAAUGAACGAUGACUCUGCGUUUUCCUUGUAUAUAUAAAGAUCAACAAUAACACUUAGGUCAUGAAACCCACCUACUUUACAGAUCAUUAUGGAAAUAAUACACUGCUUCAGCAAUGGAGAAACAAUCAUCCAUAUUUAUGCAAGAACUAAAUUCAAGUUUGAAAGCUUGCUUUGAGCUUGAAGAUAUAAAACAUGAUUCUGUGACAGUAAACAAUGUAUAACAAAUCUUACAGAAAUUUAUGUGAUUACUAAAAAAAAAUCAAUUCAUCAAUUCAAUAAACUGAGUACCGUAUUACUUUUCUAUUGCUUCUUUACCAAAUAAAUACAAGCUUUGCAGUUUAAAACAACAGAAAUUUAAUUUUUUAUAGUUCUGAGGGUCAGUAACCUAAAACUGAUCUUAUGAAAUAAAGUUAAAUCUUGGGGAUAUGGGUGUGGACAGGGCUGGUUUCUUCUGGGGCUCUGAUGGUAAAAUUUGCUUCCUUGCCUUUUCUCCUUCUAGGGAGCCUGCAUUCCCUGCCUCCUAGUGGCUUCCUCCCAUCACUCGAACCUCUGUUUCCAGCCUCAGGAUUCCUAAUGUGACUCUGACGUUUCAUCUCCUGUUUAUGAGGACGCUUCUGAUUGCUAAGAUACAUACGGUGACACUAUGGAAGUUAACUUGAAGAUUAAAACCCUGAAAAAUAGAAAGAAUCUUCUAUGGUAUAUCACAGAGAUUACAAGGGCCUGAAUUAGAGUGGUGACAUUUUCAUCCCUUGAUAAUGGAUUAAAAACAAUUGAAUGAAGCUUUGGGGUGAACUUACAGGACUUUAUGGCAAACUUCAUAUGGGAGACUUACAUGAAGGGAGGAAGAAAUGCGUAUGUGUACAAAAUCAUGUGGAUAGAUGUGCAUUUGUGGGUAUCUGUGAAUACAAAUACACAAUUUUCAGACAGAAGUAGUAUAAGAAAAGGAAAUCAAACAAAGUCAAACAUUUUAAGUGUAGCUCUUGGUGCACUUUAAAAAAUUAUUAAAUUGAAGCUGUAGUUUAUUCUCAUCAUUGUCAUCCUAUAUUAGUGAUUUUCUUUAGCUUUUGAAAUUAAAUUCAUAAUAUUACAAUUCUGAAUUCCUAUGUAUGUAUAUGUUAAGAAUCCUUUAAUGGGACUGACUUUCAUAUGUGUGUGGCUGCAUUCUGAAAUAGUUGUCUAGUUGAUACAUAAAGCAGUGAGUGCUAUUUGUAAGAUAUAUUUAUAUUUAAAGUCUUCAUACAGUUAUUAACUAGCUCCAAUAUUACUGAAAUGAUUUCUCCAAAUAUCCUAUAUUUAAUUAUCAUGCUGGCAAAUUUAUUAUAACUUUGGUUUGAAAAAAUAUAUUAUGAUACAUAUCCACUGACUAAUGCCACCUAUCUGCUUUCCUGAAUUCAAAGUUUAUGAUUAUUUCCAUAAAUGUAUUUAUCAGUAUAAUCAAAAAUAAAAAUAACAUAAAU
rnacentral:lncRNA from 1 species